rnacentral:rRNA from 1 species
AAGGUAGCAUAUAAUUUGCCCUUUAAUUGUGGGCUAGUAUGAACGGAAAAACGAGAGCAAAGCUGUCUCUUAAGCACCAAAUAAAAUUACCCUUUAGGUGAAGAGGCCUAAAUUAUAUUAAAAGACAAAAAGACCCUGUAGAGCUUAAUCAAUAAUUACUAAAGAAAAACUAAUAUAUAUAUUUCCCCUUAAAUAUAAUUUUGAUUUAGCUGGGGCGGCUAAGGACCACAAUAACCCUCCUUUCUUAAUUAAGGCCCCAAACCUACUAAAUGAUCCUAAACAGACUAAAGAAAUAAGCUACCUCAGGGAUAACAGGCUUAUAUCUUCUGAGAGCACCUAUCGAAGAAGAACUUUGGCACCUCGAUGUUGGCUUAGAGGACCCUAUAGAUUGCAGAAGUCUUUAAAGGCAGGUUUGUUCAACCUUUAAACCUCUACGUGAUCUGAGUUCAGACCGGA